UACGAAGGGGGCUAGCGUUGCUCGGAAUCACUGGGCGUAAAGGGUGCGUAGGCGGCCCUGUAAGUCAGUGCUGAAAUAUCCCGGCUUAACCGGGAGGGUGGCAUUGAUACUGCGGGGCUAGAGUACAGAUGAGGUAGGCGGAAUUGACGGUGUAGCGGUGAAAUGCUUAGAUAUCGUCAAGAACACCUAUAGCGAAGGCAGCUUACUAGGCUGUAACUGACGCUGAGGCACGAAAGUGUGGGGAUCAAACAGG
rnacentral:rRNA from 1 species